GUAUUCUUCAUGCCUGACCAGGUCUCUGCACUUCACAUGAGCAAAUGGAAUCACUUUAAGAAAGGACUAUUAGAAAGCCAAAUGUGAGAUGAAAAAUGACUGUCCAUUGUGACCCAUGUGUGCUGAGACUGAGAGAGGAAUCAAUGGCCUUGCAAACAGAGGAACUGACUGACUUUGUUCUAAACUACAUUUUCAAGGAAGUUUGUAUAGUGACUAGACUUGGAAGAAAGACACAGUGUCUCCCUCCAAAGCAAAAGUUAGGCAUGCAUACUGUACAGUAUAAUAAUAAUGAUGCCUGCUUCUGGAGCAAAGGGCAGAUAUGCUUACUGCCCAUUAUAAAAGACUCAGGUUCCUAAAGCUCAGGGUUUUGUUCCUGUAAUGGAAUCCAAUGUGUGUACAUGUGUCACAUGAUCCUUUUUGUGUUGCUCUGUAGGAAGUGGGGCUUGGGGAACUGGUGCAAGAAAUGCUGAUAUUCUGGUUACCAUUAUUGCUAUGAGGAAUAAAGUCCUUUGUCUCUGA
rnacentral:lncRNA from 1 species